CAAAAGAAAAUGCAUUUUAUUUUGCAUUUUUAUUUGCAAAUAUUGAACACUUGGAUUAAAAAAAAUCUUAAUGAUCUGGUGCUUUAAGGAACACUCCUCUUUUUUUCUGAUAAUAUUUUAAUUUUACAAGAUCCCUUGAGUUAAACUGUGGAGUUUUAACAUUUUUGAAUGUACAUAUUCUAUCUCCGGGGAGAACUUUUAGCUUAGCUUAACAUAGAUCAUUAAUUCAGAUUAGACCAUUAGCAUCUCACGCAAAAAAAAAUGACUAAAAGGUUUUGCAAAUUUUCCUAUUUAAAGCUUGACAUUUUUGUAGUAAUUCUGUGUACUAAAACCAAAAGAAAAUGAAUGAAUUUUGCAUUAUUGGAAGCUAUGGAAAUUAAAAAUGUAUUUUAUGUUUUUGUUUACAUUCCACAAAGUGGUCUAUAGGCUCGUUUAACUCUAGGGGAAGUGUAAAAUUUGCAUAUUUUCAAAUGAGUGGAGUGCU
ensembl:processed_transcript